rnacentral:rRNA from 1 species
GACAGAGGGUGCAAACGUUGCUCGGAAUUACUGGGCGUAAAGCGCGUGUAGGCGGUCACGCAAGUCAGGUGUGAAAGCCCGGGGCUCAACUCCGGGUCUGCCGUGCGAACUGGGGGACUGGAGCUUGUCAGAGGCAGGCGGAAUUCCGGGUGUAGCGGUGGAAUGCGUAGAGAUCCGGAAGAACACCGGUGGCGAAGGCGGCCUGCUGGGACAGUGCUGACGCUGAGGCGCGACAGCGUGGGGAGCAAACAGG